CGGACGGGUGAGUAACACGUGAGCAACCUGCCUUCGAGAGGGGAAUAACGGCUGGAAACGGUCGCUGAUACCGCAUAACAUACCGGGAGGACAUCCUGCUGGUAUCAAAGAUUUUAUCGCUCGAAGAUGGGCUCGCGUCCGAUUAGGUAGUUGGUGAGGUAACGGCUCACCAAGCCGACGAUCGGUAGCCGGACUGAGAGGUUGAACGGCCACAUUGGGACUGAGACACGGCCCAGACUCCUACGGGAGGCAGCAG
rnacentral:rRNA from 1 species